rnacentral:rRNA from 1 species
UACGAAGGGGGCUAGCGUUGUUCGGAAUUACUGGGCGUAAAGCGCGCGCAGGCGGCUAUCCAAGUCAGUGGUGAAAGCCCGGAGCUCAACUCCGGAACUGCCAUUGAAACUGUUUAGCUUGAGGAUGAGAGAGGUGAGUGGAAUUCCCAGUGUAGAGGUGAAAUUCGUAGAUAUUGGGAAGAACACCGGUGGCGAAGGCGGCUCACUGGCUCAUUACUGACGCUCAGGCGCGAUAGCGUGGGGAUCAAAGG